rnacentral:rRNA from 1 species
AGACCCGAAACCCGGUGAUCUAGCCAUGGGCAGGUUGAAGGUUGGGUAACACUAACUGGAGGACCGAACCGACUAAUGUUGAAAAAUUAGCGGAUGACCUGUGGCUGGGGGUGAAAGGCCAAUCAAACCGGGAGAUAGCUGGUUCUCCCCGAAAGCUAUUUAGGUAGCGCCUCGUGAAUUCAUCUCCGGGGGUAGAGCACUGUUUCGGCUAGGGGGCCAUCCCGGCUUACCAACCCGAUGCAAACUGCGAAUACCGGAGAAUGUUAUCACGGGAGACACACGGCGGGUGCUAACGUCCGUCGUGAAGAGGGAAACAACCCAGACCGCCAGCUAAGGUCCCAAAGUCAUGGUUAAGUGGGAAACGAUGUGGGAAGGCCCAGACAGCCAGGAUGUUGGCUUAGAAGCAGCCAUCAUUUAAAGAAAGCGUAAUAGCUCACUGGUCGAGUCGGCCUGCGCGGAAGAUGUAACGGGGCUAAACCAUGCACCGAAGCUGCGGCAGCGACACUCAGGUGUUGUUGGGUAGGGGAGCGUUCUGUAAGCCUGUGAAGGUGUGUCGUGAGGCAUGCUGGAGGUAUCAGAAGUGCGAAUGCUGACAUAAGUAACGAUAAAGCGGGUGAAAAGCCCGCUCGCCGGAAGACCAAGGGUUCCUGUCCAACGUUAAUCGGGGCAGGGUGAGUCGACCCCUAAGGCGAGGCCGAAAGGCGUAGUCGAUGGGAAACGGGUUAAUAUUCCCGUACUUGGUGUUACUGCGAAGGGGGGACGGAGAAGGCUAUGUUGGCCGGGCGACGGUUGUCCCGGUUUAAGCGUGUAGGUGUGUGUUCCAGGUAAAUCCGGUUCACUUUAACACUGAGGCGUGAUGACGAGGCACUACGGUGCUGAAGCAACAAAUGCCCUGCUUCCAGGAAAAGCCUCUAAGCAUCAGGUAACAUCAAAUCGUACCCCAAACCGACACAGGUGGUCAGGUAGAGAAUACCAAGGCGCUUGAGAGAACUCGGGUGAAGGAACUAGGCAAAAUGGUGCCGUAACUUCGGGAGAAGGCACGCUGACACGUAGGUGAAGUGAUUUACUCAUGGAGCUGAAGUCAGUCGAAGAUACCAGCUGGCUGCAACUGUUUAUUAAAAA